AUUGAACGCUGGCGGCAGGCCUAACACAUGCAAGUCGAGCGGAUGAAGGGAGCUUGCUCCUGGAUUCAGCGGCGGACGGGUGAGUAAUGCCUAGGAAUCUGCCUGGUAGUGGGGGAUAACGUCCGGAAACGGGCGCUAAUACCGCAUACGUCCUGAGGGAGAAAGUGGGGGAUCUUCGGACCUCACGCUAUCAGAUGAGCCUAGGUCGGAUUGGCUAGUUGGUGGGGUAAAGGCCUACCAAGGCGACGAUCCGUAACUGGUCUGAGAGGAUGAUCAGUGAAACUGGAACUGAGACGAGGACGAGAGGCCUAAGGGAGGAAUCAGGGGGCAAGAUUGGACAAGGGGGGCGAAUUGGAUCCAACCAGACGGCGUGGGAGAAGAAAGCGUGUGGGUUGGAAAUUCGUUUUGUUGGGAAAGAAAAGCAGGAGGUUGAUACCCCGCUGGUCUGACGGUACCCAAAAAAUAAGCACCGGCUAACUUCGUG
rnacentral:rRNA from 1 species